UGGGGAAUAUUGCACAAUGGAGGGAACUCUGAUGCAGCGACGCCGCGUGAACGAAGAAGGCUUUCGAGUCGUAAAGUUCUUUUAUAUGGGAAGAUAAUGACGGUACCAUAAGAAAAAGCCCCGGCUAACUACGUGCCAGCAGCCGCGGUAAUACGUAGGGGGCUAGCGUUGUCCGGAAUCACUGGGGGUAAAGGGUUCGCAGGCGGAAAUGCAAGUCAGGUGUAAAAGGCAGUAGCUUAACUACUGUAAGCAUUUGAAACUGCAUAUCUUGAGAAGAGUAGAGGUAAGUGGAAUUUUUAGUGUAGCGGUGAAAUGCGUAGAUAUUAAAAAGAAUACCGGUGGCGAAGGCGACUUACUGGGCUCAUUCUGACGCUGAGGAACGAAAGCGUGGGUAGCAAACAGG
rnacentral:rRNA from 2 species